rnacentral:rRNA from 1 species
GCGACCCCAGGAUGGGCGAGGCCACCCGCCGAGUUUAAGCAUAACAAUAAGCGGAGGAGAAG